rnacentral:lncRNA from 1 species
UAUAUAUGUAUGUAUAGUGCAUCUGGUAUGCUUCGAGAAGCACGGAGCGUUCCGUACUUUCAAGUUAUUUUCGAUGUUGGGAUUUUCGAAUCGAUGAUCGGUUAUUUUAGAUUUGAUCCAAAGUAUUUGAUGUAUCUAGAAAAUAAAUUUGUGAUUUUUCGAUAUCAUUUGUCUAGUGAUCGAAGUGGCUCAAAAUCAACGGUUGAAAAUAAAAAUUUUAUAAAUAAUGAUGAUAUGAUAUUAAAAUUUUAGAUCAACGUUAUUGAUAUUGUUUUAUAUAGUAUAAAAAAUUUUCUAUCAAAAUUUCACGUGAUUUGAAUAUUUCUACACUGUUAAACUUGCAAACGGCUCACAACGGCCAUUAAAAUUACUGAUUUUGAACCCCUCCCAUCACCAGGCAAAUGAUAUCGAAAAAUCACAAAAUUUAUUUUCUAAGUACUUCAAAUACUCCAGAUCAACUCUAACUGAGCUGAUCGUCGAUUCGAAAGUCGCAACAUCGAAAACGACUUUGAAGCACGGAAGGCUCUGUGCUUCUAGAAGCAUACGAGCCCUCUCUCUUUCUCUCUUUCUCUCUCUCUCUCUCUCUAUAUAUAAUUUUAUUAUAUUUAUUGUACAUGUUGUACAAUUACACACCAAAUUCUCAUGGGAAAUAAAGAAAAAAACUAUAAAAGCGUGAUUGUGAUUUGCUCUGACACCACUUCAUGGAGGUACAUGUUGUGCAAUUACACACCAAAUUCUUACGGGAAAUAAGAAAAAAAACUGUAGAAGCGUGAUUUGCUCUGGUACCAUUUGUUGGAGGUACAUGUUGUACAAUUACACACCAAAUUC